AUUGAACGCUGGCAGCAUGCUUUACACAUGCAAGUCGAACGGUAACAGGUUAAGCUGACGAGUGGCGAACGGGUGAGUAAUGCAUCGGAACGUGCCCGAUCGUGGGGGAUAACGCAGCGAAAGCUGCGCUAAUACCGCAUACGAUCUGAGGAUGAAAGCGGGGGACCGUAAGGCCUCGCGCGAUCGGAGCGGCCGAUGUCAGAUUAGGUAGUUGGUGGGGUAAAGGCCCACCAAGCCGACGAUCUGUAGCUGGUCUGAGAGGACGACCAGCCACACUGGGACUGAGACACGGCCCAGACUCCUACGGGAGGCAGCAGUGGGGAAUUUUGGACAAUGGGCGAAAGCCUGAUCCAGCAAUGCCGCGUGCAGGAAGAAGGCCUUCGGGUUGUAAACUGCUUUUGUACGGAGCGAAAAGGUCCUUUCUAAUACAAGGGGCUCAUGACGGUACCGUAAGAAUAAGCACCGGCUAACUACGUGCCAGCCGCCGCAGUAA
rnacentral:rRNA from 1 species